rnacentral:lncRNA from 1 species
GGGAGAACUCCCCAGAGGAGAGAAGAUCUUAGCUGUGAUCUGCUUAAUGAUUACUAUUAAUGGAAUUAAUUUCAUUCUAUUUAGAUUCACAGGUUGAAUCCCCUUGUAUGACUGAAUUUAAAGGUAGGGUCUUUAAGGAGAUAAUUAAGGCUAAAUGAGGUCCUAAGGUAUGGUUCUGAUAUGAUGGCAUUAAUGUUUUAUAAGAGGAAGAAACACUGGAAAUGACCCCUACCCUCUUCCCCACAGAAGAGUCGUGUAAGGACACAGGAAGGCAUGAUCUAUAAGCUAGAAAGAGAGGCCUCACUAGAAACCAUCCAAUUGGAACUUUGAUCUUGGAUUUUCAUCCUCCAAAACUGUGAGAACAUGCAUUUCUGUUAUUAAAGCCACCCAGUCUAUGGCAUUUUGUCAUGGCAGCUAGACAACUAAUACAACUAGAAAUAAGCCAGAUAAAGUGGCAGAGAUUGGGCUGGGAGAAAGUGGGUAACAAUGAGCAUAUAGGUCUGGAGUGAAGGAGUGUGGGUCUCUUCAAGGACAAAACGCAGUGUAGGCACACUAUGGGAGUGACCAUGCAUUAUCUGUCCAUCAGCUACAACUCUGAAAUCAUACCUGCCAUGAAUCUGAUGGCAGAAGAGAAAUUGGUUUUUGGCGGGGGUGGUCAAAACAGAAGUUCUGAUGUAUAUGUUAAAUAUUUGAAAUAUCUCAAAGCCAUAGUAGGAUUGUUUCUAG